AGAAGACUCCAGUACAAACAACACACACCAUGUUCUCUACAUCUCUACUGCUCCUGCUGGCAGCUGCUUCUUAUGUACAUGGUGAGGAACUGACUCAGCCUGCUUCCAUGACAGUCCAGCCAGGCCAGAGUCUCUCCAUCCACUGCAAGGUUUCAUAUUCAGUUACGGGCUAUCAUACAGCUUGGAUCCGACAACCUGCAGGAAAAGCUCUGGAGUGGGUCUCACUUAUGCAUUAUAGUGGUAACACUUACUACAGUGAGAAACUGAAAAGCAGGUUUCAGGUUUCCAGAGACACGUCCAGCAACACAGUGACAUUAACAGGGCAGAACAUGCAGACUGAAGACACAGCUGUGUAUUACUGCGCU